CCUUCCUUCCUUCCUUCCUUCCUUCCUUCCUUCCUUCCUUCCUUCCUUCCUUCCUUCCUUCCUUCCAUCCAUCCAUCCACAUUAGUACUGUGACUUCUGUUUCUGAAAAAAUUGAUUUUUCACAUUAAAUAGUACUGUGCAUUGAUUUUGCUUUCAUUUCUGAUCUGUUUUAUAUCAACAUGCUAGCAGAUGCUUGACUUAAAAGCGCAAAGAAUUUAGAAAGGUUUGGAAGAAUAUGGCUUCCGUAUGGAAGUAUCUAUCCAUCCAUCCAUCCAUCCAUCCAUCCAUCCAUCCAUCCAUCUCUGAAUUAUUGCAUGCCACUAAAGGAGGCAGCAACCCUGCCUCACCAAAAUCAUCGAUAUCAGUUGGAUUUUUGCUUUUGUCUGUUUCCAGCAGAAUCCGUAUAAGAAAGCGUAAGCAGAUGUGAAGCCCCUUUUUUGCUGGAGGCUGUAUGAAAUGCCAGGCAGGGCUUGCAGUCUGAAUAGACAGGACAGGCAAGGGGGUGGGAGCAGAAACAAAUGAUAUGAAGAGAGGAAGAGCCUGGAUAACAUAUCAGUGAGGGAGUUGCAGGAAGAGUUUUAGUCUUGGAUUGCUGCUCUUAAAUCAACACACACAAUGCCUCCAGAAGAGCAUGAACUUCAAGACAUCUUACUCAUUUCUUGGCCUUUGAAGGAAUCAUGACAGCUGUGUCUCCUGCGCAAACACUCAGCACCGAUGCCAGAUUUCAUGAAGCACUUGGAAGUUUGAGGUUCCUUUAAAUGAUCCAUCUCUCUUAGCUCUCUGCACGUGGACUAAAAUUCCUCAAAUAGAUUUCUCUCCAAACCUUUCUUGCAUUACCCCUUCCUUGGGUGUGGUCCCUGGAGGCCAGGCUCACUCUGCGGUGCCCUGCGGAGCUGGCUGAAGGUAUAGGUUCCUGGCUUUUUGAGCGUUAAAGCUUGGCUUUUCCUGCCACCGCUGCCCCAGCCCUGGCAGCCCCCUUGCUCUGGGCAGACUGGCUGUUUGGGGCAGUCUGUGGAGCCUGGGCAGAAGGGGCAGAGUGCCACGCUGUUCUGGCAGGAAAGCAGGGCACCCCCUCUCCCUAGCAGUGCCUGUUUGCUGCAUGGCAGCAGCCUGGGGCUGGCUCGUGCUGAUCCCAUUUGGAGGUUAGGGAACAAAAACAUUCCUGAAUAGUGUGGACACGUACGUCUUUCCAAAGCCAGUGGGCCCUGCCAGGCGAGCAGCAGCUCUGGAGCUGGAGGCGUGAGGAUCUGCCUCCCCAAAACCGAGGUCACUUAGGAAAAAGCAUCUCCCAAAGCAACCAUCACCCAAAGCAGCAGCCAAAACCUAUGUCCAUCUUCUCCCAAGCUCCAACUACUGCACUGCCCUUCUUCUACUGCUCAGAGAGCAAAGCAAGCCAGAACCUCCAGCAACCUAGAAAUAUCAAAAGAUCCUGUGGUUUUUAACAGCCACAGGCAGCUUGGUGCCUGGCUUACCUACAGCGCAAUAGGAGAGGUUCAGUUCAGUAUUUUCUGUGAAACUCACUGAGGCAAAUCCCAGCAAAAUCUAUAAAUUUUUUAGGGGAAGGAAAAAAAAAAUAGAGGAAGAUUUCCUGGCACUUGAACAUCUUCUUCAAGCAUUUGAAAAACUACAGCCCAGUGUUAAUUUAAACUUCCUUAUAACCCAGUUCAACAUUUGGAGUGCAAACCCUGUUAAUAGGAUGGGAACCGGAGUGGUGGUGGUUUGCUUACUAUAUUGGGAAACAAAGCCAGAACAAAACUAGCUUGAGAUAGAGUUUUUGUUUAUACUGCUGACCCAUCUGUCUUCAUUAAUGCACUAUUUACAGGAAAAGUUAAAAAAUUAGCUUCUGCUCCUUCUUCAAUUGCAACAGCAACAAAUAAAGGCUGAAUGGUUCAUUUGCCCUCGACUAAAAAUGGAAAUUAUUAUCAGCACCCCUUGGAAGGAGAGGUUUAUUAUAUGGAGUGUAUUAUUGUUGAAUAUUAGUGCUGGGACUAGGCGUUUUGGCCAGAGCUGUGUAUUUCUAGCACAAGCAACACUGGGAGUGAGGAGCGGUCCGGGAGGUGCCUAUGUUGCAGAAAUCAGCAAUCAGCAGCAAAAUGUGACCCAUAUCUUACUCUAAACUGCUUUGAAGUCUAAGGAGAAAUAAUGUGGUUUUUCUCCUGUACUGACCCGCCCAGGGCAGGGUGUGAUUUCCCUGGGUGUGAAAAGGGACACAUUUGAGGCUAAGCCUUGACGUGGCAUAGAAAUCACCCAGGGUGACUCUGGCACUGACACUGCAGAGGGAGAGGCAGUGCAGGGCGAUACCCCUUUCUCUUACCUGCAAGUAAAGGACAACACGUGUGCACUUGAUUUUCUACAGUUUAGAUGCCUAAAUGAGAAAGAUGAAGGCCACCCCAAACGUAUCUACCCUGACCAUCCUCCAGACAAAAUGAGGCAGGUUUUCGACAGCCUGUUGGUAAGCCGGUUUAGCUGGCAGUGAAAAGCAGCCAGGUCUGGUCACACAUUUAGUUGGCACAGCUGUAACCCAAUGAGGACCAGAGUUUAUGGCCUAGCACCCCUGGACAUUUCCUAAUGAAAGCAGACUGUCAAGCCUGCUGCUGUGCAAAUGAACUUUAAAAUCGUCUUCUCAGUAAGAAGGAAAAACUAAAUUUUGCACUACAGUCCACUGAAAUAGAGACAUACAUUAAAAAAAAACAAAACCAAACUCUCUUUGUGUAAACCAUAAAACCAGUAAUUUCAAAAGGGCAGGCAGGUUAUCAGAGUUACCAUCUCAUUUGCACAUCCCACUACAGGGGCAGGCUUUCAAAUGACCUCCGAACCCUGGGCACAUUUGGGGAACAAAUCUGGCUGCUAGGCAUCUCGUCUCACUCUCCUUCACACCUUCACCCCUGCCUUGCUGUCCUUCAGCCCUCUAUCACUCUCCAUCUGCUUUCACACAGGCAAGAUACGCUUUUUGUCAGGCCACGUCUCUACAAGCUGUUCCCCAGGGAGCGGGACUCGAGGCACGGAGCGUGCCUGCCCCUCUCCCGGAGGAGCGGCUCGCUGGGGAAAUGCAAGGCUAUUGAAAGCAGUAGAAGGAGCAGCCGUUAGAAUCGCUGCUUCUUCUCCCAGAUAAAAACGGAGGGAAAAGUCCACCUUUUGAUACCCUUGUCAAGAAGAUGAAUAGUGGAAGGGGGUCCAGCUCUCCCUGCUGAGGUCUUGGUAACAUCUCCUGCAGCAACUGAGCCCAUUUGCUUCCACAUGCAUGCUAGUAAAUGCCAAUUUACUCUCCUGCCUCUCGAGUCACUUCAGAUGUCAAUAAGCAGAAUUCGAGCUAGUGAUUAGCUGUGAAACCUUCUGCUUCCAACCCCAUCUCACCGCACAGCGUUGCUGGUGAAACUCGUGAGGAUAGGGCUGCAUUAUUCCAGCAAACUGAGUUCCUUUUUAGAGUGGAUAAUGCCAGAAAACAUAGGAGAGUGUUGCUAACAUAUGUACUGCAACAUAUCCCGCUCAGGACAAGUGAGCUUACGUUGGAAAGAGGAAGUUUGCUUACUUGUUUUAUGCUGUUGGAUACGUGCCCAGUGUGAUUCUGUUCACAACGCAAAUUGAUCAGCCUCCUGCUCAGUAUUUCAAGGGCUUAGCGGGACCUUUGAUUGCUUUUUUUUUCACCGUAAACAAAGGAAAUAUGAGGGAUAAAAGCAAUCAACGUGGCUGCAAUAAAGGAAAUGAUAUGAAAGGAAUGGAUUUCCGUGACAUAGAGUAAUGCUUCCUGAAAAGGGGGUGGGAUUUUUUCCUGCCUCCAAAUAUUGCAUUUUCUGUGGUGGCCCAAGAUAUGGCCAACAAAGACAAUGCAUUGUAUUUUAUUUUAAAUGGACAGCUGCAGUGCCAUUAAUUCAAUAUUAGCAUAACUAGAUUUCACAGCAGCUGCUGCCUGCUGUAUCUGCAGCGACUUUAGGAUGAGGGGAUGCUCACUGCAGCGCUUGGGCUCCCCAAACAAUGUCCUUCAGCUCUGUGCGAUUGAGACUAUCCAGGAUGUGAGCUCUGAUGGUGUUGAAAAGAUACGUGUCGAGUUAAGUGAGAAGGUUUAAAUACACGGUGGUCUCUGAAAUCAAGUGCAGUAGCUAACUAGCAACAGCAGCUAAACAACAGACCAGCCUUCCAUAGCUCUCAGGUUUAUGUUGGCUUUGCUGUAGCAACUCCUUAUCUUUCCAGAGAUUAGAGCAUUUUAGAUCAGUUGUUGCGAGAUUUGGUGGAAUCCAUUUCCUGAGCUGUCACCGCUGGCUAAUCAGGCAAAGUUGCAAUGCAAAGCUUUGGGAGAGUGGGAAAGCAAAACCCAUUACCCUACAAUACUGAACGUGCCCUAUUUGCUUUUAUCAUUACCAGAUUUUAGAUGCCCAACUCAAGAUACUGAUACAGAGAAGCCUGCAGCCUGAAACACGAGCCAGCUGAACUAGCAAAAAGCUGUGACCUUGGUGGCUUGACUUUCAUCGGGACAGAAGACCUAACUAGUUUGGCUUGAAUGAAAGGAGCAUGUGGCAUUUCCAGCCCAGAUGUUCACAACAUUUCUCCUAGACCUGAUGGAGAAUUUUCUCCCUAAAUGACUCCUGAACCUCAUGCUCAGGCUCCGCCAAGUAGGUCUGCAGCCUGUCUUGAGCUGAACUUUCGUAUCCCCAAAGCCAAGUCCUCAGUAGCAGUAACCCAGUGUUGCAUUAACUUCACCAUGCUUGGCACAGAGGCAAGCAUUUGGUCCUUGACAUCUUGCUUGAAAACUCCUGCAGAUCUCUGUGGUUUUCCCUUUUCUGUUCCCGUGAAGGCUCUAGGCUGGGCUAAGGCUGUGUGUUGUUGUUCUGCCUUCUUAACAUAAAUGAGGAGUGAAAGGUUUUCUUGCAGAGUUCUGCUAUUUUCUUUCCUACACCAAAAGCUUCAGCAGCAUCAUGGUACUGCUGGAAGGGCGAUUUGCUGGCAGAGAGUGGGAAAAAAAGCAGACAAGUUUACAAAUAGCCACACUGGCACCAUGAGACCUGUGGGUCUGGUUAGUCUUUAUGCUGAUGGCAGCAAGUGACAGGGAGAGACCCAGCAUCAUCGCCAAGCCACCAAGGUGGCUGAGGAAAUCCUGUUCUAUGCUGAUGAAAUCAUGAGAAACAAAAGCGGAGGCGGUAAGUCCUGAUAUGUUUUUCUUUGAAAAUUGUCCAUCGUGAAAAAUGCAGAAGCCCCAUUUUCUGUACUGGGUAAAGUUGCUGAUGCAGACUCCCUCUGCACAAAGAGCUCCGUGUAUGGAUGCGUGAAAGUGCUCUCCAAAGCCUCGCCAGUGGCUGUGCUGGAUUUAUAUACACAUGGCUAUAAGGACCAGGGGUUUAAGAUAACUGAACAGCCACUUAACUGAAGAGUUUUUUAUGAUAUUGUGAUUUUGUACCUGGAGCCUUGAUAUCGAUGACUCUGGCACAGUGCAGCUAGUGAUGCUCUAUGAGACCUCUUCUCAGCAGGCCCACCGCGCUGCCUGGGCUUCUCCUGCUCUAUAAGAGCAAUAACAGACUGUAGGUGUUAACGUGAACAUCUCAGCCGUGGUGGUGACAGCAUCUGCAGCCCACCAUCCAGGCACACUGUGGGACGGGCUGUGCCACCGCAGACCUUGGGGCUUUUCUGUGUCCCCGGACCCAGGAUUUAUGGACUUUUUGUUCCACUCAGAAGCACUGUGGGUGGAUCCAGCAAGGAGCCAGCCAGCUGGCAGGAGGGAUGCUUGCUGGUUUAUUUUUGUAAAGGCAUAAUGUGUCUUUAACCUGAACUCCUGAGUGCCAAGAUAUUCUGAUUGAGCAGCAAGAAGUAUUAGCCUGUUCCACAGGUAACUUGAGCAGCUGAAAAAGGAGUUGAAGAAAACACACCAAAAAAGCUAAAGAAUAUUCUUGAAAUUUCCUGUUUCAGAGCAUAAACCAGCCUCUAUCUUCUGGGCUCCUUCCUCCAAACCAGCCCGGGGUCAGUAGCAGAACACUGGACGAUACAAGGCCCGGGCUCUGAAUCUGCUUGGCAAUUCCUCUGGAUUAAUGCAGCUCCAUUUUAUGUCUGUGCACAGCUAGGUGUCUUCUCCUAGUUGGUUUUGGCAUCAGUUUUGCUCGUGGAUUUAGCUAAGUUUUUUAUCUUCUCCUCAAGCAUCUUGUUUUUCUUCUCCAUGUCCUCCCGUGAGCGCUCCACAUUCAUCAGUUUCAGCUCCAGUUCCUCAGACUUCUUCUUCUCCCUUUCAAUAUCCUGAUUCAGCCUCACCACUUUGGCCCAGACUUCAUAGUUUUCCUUCUCGAGACUGCAAAGAAAAACGGAGUGUGAAAGGAUUGCAUCGGAAGAGUGCUGGGAAGUCAUCAUUUGGCUCUUAAGGAGGCUGUCCUCUGUGUUAUUAAGCAAUAAAAUAAGCCAGAGGUUCUGUGCUGAUCCCCUGACCCUCAAUGGCCACAUAACACGGUGCAAUAAAUCAAUACACGUGAUAUAUAAUAGUAUGAUAACAAUAUGUGAAGCUAUAGUAACACUCGUGGUUACAACUAAUAAUGUAAUAAUGCUACGACUGAAUUCUGGAGAGGGUAACGGCACAGUAUUGCAGUAACAACAAGAACUGUGACAGUGAAAUUAUUGCAGAAUUGUUAUAGAGCCUUACAAUGAUGUAAAAAGAACUAUAGAGUAUUAAUAUUGUAGUGAUAUAACAUGAGCAACUGUCAUGAAAGUACAGCACAUGAGACUUUUAGCCUAUUACGCUACUAUAUUUUAUCAUUAGUCUUUACUGUUGCACACUGUAUAGUACUACCGGCAAACAAAUCUGUGCAACACCAGUGUGGUAGUAACACGAGCUGAGGGCUUCAUACUCUCCGGGAAGCAGCACCGUGCAGUGUGUUACCUUUUAAUUUGUUCCUCGUAGUCUUUUUUCUGUACCUCCAUUUCUUUUUCCAGCUUAAGGAUCAUGUUUUGCAGGAACUGCCUGCUCUCCUGAUCAGGCUUGGAGACCUCGGCAGGGCUGCUGGUGGGACUGGCUGUUUCCUUUGGCUGAUGGCUGAGACUGGGGCAGGGUAGAAAUUCCUUGUCAGAGCAGCUGCUCGAAGGGCUGGGGCUGGAGCCGUUGCCUUCCCCACCUUCUGCCUGGGAGGCAGGAACAUUAUCGUAGGUCGAAGCCCGGUGAAGGUCGAGCAGCUUAAAAAGGUCAUGAGACAACGUUCUCUUAUGCCCAUCAGGGGCCACGGAGCACGUGGUGCUCCCGGGGGAGCUCUUCCAAAAGUCACUGUCAAAUAUGUCGUUUUUGUCAUUGCUGCCUUUCUCCCCCAGAGCAGCACCCGUCAGGAAAGUUUUCCUGUUAGGUAAAGUCUGAGUUCUUUUCCUUGACUGCAUUUUCCACAUUCCCAGUGUAUCUUUGGACCCGUUAUCUUCUCUGGGUGCACUUGAGCUCACGGCUGGUCUGGGGGCACUGCUGGAAUUCAGGUCAUCUCUCUGUAAAAUAGACCCGUGGCAUUAGGACAGCCUCGUCCUGCUUUGUGAGCAGAGACAGGUUGCAGCGACCGCUGUGGCUGCAGUAUUUACGCAAGCCACGCUUUAACAUGCUAACAGGAAUGGCCACAAGUUCUCCAUAAAAAAAUAUUUUGGGUCGCACCGUGUUUUCCAUUAAGAAGAACUUUUUGCAGAGAUUCCUUCUUUCUGAGAAAAGCCUUUAAACCUCAAUAUUUUCACUUCACCAGCACAAACUGAAAAGGUUUCAUCUAUGCUGCCUUUUGGCUAAAAAACUUUAGGAGUUUUCAUUUUUCCCAGAACAGAAGAUUUUCCACAGGAAAGUGGAAAAUUUAUCUACAUCGUUUUCCUGAUGUAGAUAUUCCAGGGCUGACAGUUACAGCUCUUUACCCUAUUAAUAGCAAGCGCUCUUAGUGGCUCACCGACCUGUUAGAUUCCAUAAUAACUAAUCGCACAUUUAUUAAAUUUAUGUUUUAUUAUUUCUCUGAGGACCUAGCCUUACCAUUUGCCUUUGGAUCAAGCUGUGUGCCCUGGGCACCGCAGGGUCCUCUGCAGCGUCCCAGCCCACGGAGCUGCGCGGGACAGGAUUCUUCUUGUCAUUUUUUUGGGCAGGUGGGGAGGGCGGCACAUCCUUCGACGGGGGAAAGAGGUCUGCAUGGUCACUUAUCAUCACAGUCAUCACUUUCUGGAUCUGUGGCGUGCCUGGAAGAAAUUCAAGAUCUGUCAGUGGCAAACCCAAUGUGCUGGGCUUUCUUCCACCCACACUUGUGUUUUCUGGUUGGCCUUUCUGGUGUCCAAAAUGGAGAUGCACAUAGUAAAAGGAGAGACAAGGAACACUAUCAUAAACCCAAAUAAAGGCAGGGAUUUUUAUACCAUUCCAGAACAGCAGUAGUAGAGCAUGGAGCAACGAAGAUGGGAGUCUGCUCAGCUGCCCCAAGCCACAGAUUGGCCUCCCUUGGCUUGACAAGCAAACUGCAGGUCCCAGUUGUACGAACAGGUGUAUGAAUGUCUGCACCAUUUGCAUGUGAUGUCUGUAGAGCAGAGCAGUGUUUGGCCUUAAAAUAUUUCUUCUAUUAGUUGUGCCGCAUCUGUCCUUGCCCACAGGAUUACAGUUUUGCUCAGCUGAAGAGUAAUUUCUUUGAGUUUCCUUUGUUUCUCUGAGAAGAAUUUCACACUUUCCUGCUCUAAGCAAAAGAAAGGUGACUUUGCCAAAUUCCUGACUAGUUUGAAAUCUACGGAGGGAACAGACAGUGCAACUCCCAGGGGGGUUCUGUCACCAUUAACACGUUUAUAGCUGAACUAACACAUGGCUUUACUCUACCCUGCUGUACCUACUGUGCCCAGGCACGUGUCUGGCUUAUAUCCAUGGGUCUACCAUAGAAAAAUUUUAAUUUCAAGAUUGUGGAUGCAGCUGAGUACUUCAGCAUAUCAGGUGCUCCUAUGCCAGCUAUUCCAGGAGUCCCUUUUACCUCUCAUAAUAAUUGCAGGAUCCUCUAUCUUGGGUCUGACGAGGUUCACUCCUAUCACUGUUGCCAGGUUAUCCACACUCAUCUUGUUGACGCUAGAGUUCAACUGUAUUUCGUGUAGAAACCUGCCAGAAUCCAAGGGCAAACAUUUCAAGUCAGAGAAGGAAGACUGCAAAAAGCCUUACACACCCACUGAUUUCAAAACUCAAUAAUUACACAGCUUAUAACGCACGGCUAUAUAUGCACCUGGCAUCUUCUGCUCACAAAGCCCUGGCACUGAAACACAGCUAAUUUUAAGGCUAGAAGGAAAGCAAGGAAUGCAUCUCUACCUUUCCCUCAUCCGCAUCCAGCGCCUGACCACACAGCAGGAAAUCCUCAUACUGCAUCCAGGGAACAACUGGCUCAGGGAGCUCCCGCAGAAACUCGCCUAUGCAAAGAAGAGCAGUAUUCUGCAGCUGGAGGUACCUUUCCUUCGAAGCAGUGGCUUUUUCCUCCUGAACUCGCAGCAAAAGAAGAGCUCAAAUGUGGGAAGGCAGCAGCCUGCAUCCCAGCUCUUCCUCCUUGGAGCUUGGGGCAUGGUAAGAGCAGACAAAUCCCAACUCAGACUGGCUCUGGGAUAUUAAUGGCAAAGGAUCCUAUGGUCCUCUACCAUAUUUUUGCCCCAGCAGUGCCUGCGAUGUGCUCAGCUCAUGCUCUGAAGGCUGAAAUAAUUCCUGUGUAUCUUCCAGACCAGGAGAAUGCAAAUAAACACUCUCAUCUGGAACAACGAGGCUUGUCUCCACCUGCCUGAUCAUGGGGAUUUUUCAUUUAUGACUUGCUUACACUUUUAAAUAAUGAAUAUAAACCUGUCAUUGUGCACAGUAAAGGCAAAUAGCUUUUUGGGGUUUUUUUUGCCUCCCCACU